UUUUGGGGAAGUUGGUGAUCCUAUGCUGCCGAGAAAAGCCUCUAGCGAUGUGGAUAUACGGCCCGUACCCGAAACCGACACAGGUAGUCAGGUAGAGAAUACUAAGGCGAUCGGGAUAACUGUGGUUAAGGAACUCGGCAAAAUGCCCCCGUAACUUCGGGAGAAGGGGGGCCAUGACUGGUGACCGACGUGGUUGAGCUGGUUGUGGCCGCAGAGAAUAGAGGGAAGCGACUGUUUACUAAAAACACAGGUCCGUGCGAAGACAUUUAAGUCGAGGUAUACGGACUGACGCCUGCCCGGUGCUGGAAGGUUAAGAGGACCUGUUAGAUCCCUUUGUGGGUCGAAGCGGAGAAUUUAAGCCCCAGUAAACGGCGGUGGUAACUAUAACCAUCCUAAGGUAGCGAAAUUCCUUGUCGGGUAAGUUCCGACCUGCACGAAUGGCGUAACGACUUCCCUGCUGUCUCAACCACAGGCCCGGCGAAAUUGCAGUACGAGUAAAGAUGCUCGUUACGCGCGGCAGGACGAAAAGACCCCGGGACCUUCACUAUAGCUUGGUAUUGGUGUUCGGUUCGGUUUGUGUAGGAUAGGUGGGAGACUGUGAUGCCUCAACGCCAGUUGGGGUGGAGUCGUUGUUGAAAUACCACUCUGAUCGUAUUGGACAUCUCAACCUCGGCCCGUGAUCCGGGUUAGGGACAGUGCCUGGUGGGUAGUUUAACUGGGGCGGUUGCCUCCCAAAGAGUAACGGAGGCGCCCAAAGGUUCCCUCAGCCUGGUUGGCAAUCAGGUGUUGAGUGUAAGUGCACAAGGGAGCUUGACUGUGAGACUGACAGGUCGAGCAGGUAGGAAACUAGGGACUAGUGAUCCGGCACCGGCUUGUGGAAGCGGUGUCGCUCAACGGAUAAAAGGUACCCCGGGGAUAACAGGCUGAUCUUCCCCAAGAGUCCAUAUCGACGGGAUGGUUUGGCACCUCGAUGUCGGCUCGUCGCAUCCUGGGGCUGGAGUAGGUCCCAAGGGUUGGGCUGUUCGCCCAUUAAAGCGGCACGCGAGCUGGGUUUAGAACGUCGUGAGACAGUUCGGUCUCUAUCCGCCGCGCGCGUAGAAACUUGAGGAAGGCUGUCCCUAGUACGAGAGGACCGGGAUGGACGUACCUCUGGUGUGCCAGUUGUCCCGCCUGGGGCAUGGCUGGUUGGCUACGUACGGAAGGGAUAACCGCUGAAAGCAUCUAAGCGGGAAGCCUGUUCCAAGAUUAGGUUUCUUUUGAGGUCCCCUAUAGAUGAUGGGGUUGAUAGGCCGGAUCUGGAAGCAUCGUAAGGUGUGGAGGUGACCGGUACUAAUAGACCAAACAUUCAACAC
rnacentral:rRNA from 1 species